rnacentral:rRNA from 1 species
AUUGAACGCUGGCGGCAUGCCUUGCACAUGCAAGUCGAACGGUAACAGGUCUUCGGAUGCUCAUGAGUGGCGAACGGGUGAGUAAUACAUCGGAACGUGCCUAGUAGUGGGGGAUAACUACUCGAAAGAGUGGCUAAUACCGCAUGAGAUCUACGGAUGAAAGCAGUGGAUCGCAAGACCUUGUGCUACUAGAGCGGCCGAUGGCAGUUUAGGUAGUUGGUGGGAUAAAAGCUGACCAAGCCGACGAUCUGUAGCUGGUCUGAGAGGACGAUCAGCCACACUGGGACUGAGACACGGCCCAGACUCCUACGGGAGGCAGCAGUGGGGAAUUUUGGACAAUGGGCGAAAGCCUGAUCCAGCAAUGCCGCGUGCAGGAUGAAGGCCUUCGGGUUGUAAACUGCUUUUGUACGGAACGAAAAGCCCCGGGUUAAUACCCUGGAGUCAUGACGGUACCGUAAGAAUAAGCACCGGCUAACUACGUGCCAGCAGCCGCCGUAA